rnacentral:ncRNA from 1 species
UUUCUGAGUGCCCCUUUUUAGAAGGGGAUAAUAGGGAAUCGGGUGGAAAUCCCGAGCGAUCCGGUCACUGUAAACGGAGAGUUGCGCCGUAGGAUGCCAUUGCCCCAUGGGUGAGAAGGCACGGCCAGCGCUGACCCGCAAGCCAGGAAACCUGCUCAGAAG